rnacentral:rRNA from 1 species
UACAGAGGGUGCGAGCGUUAAUCGGAAUUACUGGGCGUAAAGGGUGCGUAGGCGGUAUUUUAAGUUAGAUGUGAAAUCCCUGGGCUUAACCUGGGAAUGGCAUUUAAGACUGGAAUGCUGGAGUAGAGUAGAGGGAAGUGGAAUUUCCGGUGUAGCGGUGAAAUGCGUAGAUAUCGGAAAGAACAUCAGUGGCGAAGGCGGCUUCCUGGACUCAUACUGACGCUGAGGCACGAAAGCAUGGGUAGCAAACAGG